ensembl:lncRNA
GAUCUGUGUGUGUGCCUGCUAAGUUGCUAAAUCGUGUCUGACUCUUUGAGACCCCAUGGACCAUAACACGCCAGGCUCCUCUUUCCAUGGUGUUCUCAAGGCAUGUGCUACCCAGUCUUAGAUCAGAAGAUGGGCUCUUGGGAAGACUUGGAGGCCAAGAGGUAGAGAGGAUUCACAGAAAAGAGGCACGGUUCCCCCUGGAGGCUGAACGUGCUCUGAUGAACCAUUUGGACUGAUGACUCUCUCUCUCAGAUCCCGUGACCUCUCAGAGUCCUCACAUUUCCCACUUCCAACCCCUUGUGGAAACCUUUUCACCACAGCUUUUCUAGGAUGAGGAACCAUGGCCAAAGGCAGACGCUAGGCUACUGGAACCCCCUACCAUAUGGAAGAAGUUAACUGUAUGCUGAUUACCAGGACCUAGGUCCCAGGCUGGUUGGAGCUAGAAGGCUGAUAAAGUUGACUCCUAAUUACCUCACCAGCAACCAAUCAGAAGAACGUCUAUGAGCUGAUUAUGCAUAAUACAUAAGGAAAUGACAGAGGAUGCAAUGGUUGGAUGGCAUCACUGACCCAAAGGACAUGUGUUUGGGCAAACUCUGGGGAGUUGGUGAUGGACAGGAAAGCCUGGCGUGCUGCAGUCCAUGGGGUCGCAAAGAGUUGGACACGACUGAGCGACUGAACUGAACUGAUACAUAAUACAAGUCCCUCCUUGUCUUUGAAAAUCUGUCCCUGAAAGCCUUCGGGGAGUUUGGGCCUUUGAAGCUCUGGACGCCUUGCUUGGCACAUGCAGUAACCCCUGCACUUCUCUUCACCACAACCAGAGUCAGUAGAUUGGUUCUACAGGGUGUGGGCGAGUGGACCCAAGUUUGCUCAGUAACAGUUGUCAUCACAUUAAAACCAUAGUUUGCACUGUGUAUGUUUGACUUAAUAAUGCAACACAUGCAUCUUUCUUUGCCAUUAGGAACCUCUUUUGAAAGCACAGUGCUUAAUGACUAUAGCCCAUUCCACUCUACUGAGGCACCAUACUGUCUUAUCUUUACAUAUUAAACUGUUUCCAAAAAUUUAGUGACUUAAGCGGUUUUGUAAUAAAUAUAUUUAUACAUAAGUUUUAACUAUGAUAGGAUUUUUUCUUGGAAAAAUUCUCAAGCAGAGUUAACAUGAGAAAAGGAUUUUGAGGUCAUUCACUGUACCACCAUGGGAAUGCCAAUUGCCUCCUAACCAUUAUUCUGCACUAUAAAUAAAAUACUAAUUGACCGACCACAUAUAGUGAUCUUUAAAACAGUAUAACAAACACAUGUCUACACAAGGCAGACUUUAG